rnacentral:rRNA from 1 species
UACGUAGGGUGCAAGCGUUUGUCCGGAAUUAUUGGGCGUAAAGAGCUCGUAGGCGGUCUGUCGCGUCGGCUGUGAAAUCCCGAGGCUCAACCUCGGGUCUGCAGUCGAUACGGGCAAACUGGAGUGUUGCAGGGGAGACGUGGAAUUCCUGGUGUAGCGGUAGAAAUGCGCAGAUAUCAGGAGGAACACCGGUGGCGAAGGCGGGAUCUCUGGGCCGUAACUGACGCUGAGGAGCGAAAGCAUGGGUAGCGAACAGG